ensembl:snoRNA SNORA73 Small nucleolar RNA SNORA73 family
UCAAUGUGGAUAUCCUGUGAGGCUGCUCUCACGGGCUCUGUCCAAGUGGCGCAUGGGAGCGUAGUGCUUUCUGGUUCAGUGAUGUAUAAUCCCCUUCCACAACAUUGACUGAUGUAAAA